rnacentral:lncRNA from 1 species
UGUAUUCUAAUGGGCAGAACUUCACAGAUGUGGACAGCCCUUGUCAGACCUGCUACUGUGAGGAUGGGACUGUGAGGUGUUCGGUGAUCAACUGUCCUUCCCUGACCUGUGCCAAGCCCCAGAAUGGACCAGGCCAGUGCUGCCCCAAGUGCCCAGACUGCAUCCUGGAGGCACAGAUGUUUGUAGAUGGGGAGCGCUUUCCUCAUCCAAGAGACCCCUGCCAGGAGUGCCUGUGUCAGGAAGGCCAGACUCACUGCCAGCUCCGAGCCUGCCACAGCGCCCCCUGUGGUCACCCUCUGCCAAGCACCUGCUGCAGGAAUGACUGCAAAGGCUGUGCCUUUGGCGGGAAAGAGUACCUCAACGGAGCAGACUUCCCGCAUCCCACUGAUCCGUGUCGCAUGUGUCGCUGUCUGAGCGGCAAUGUACAAUGCCUGGCGCGUCGCUGUCCGCCACUGGCCUGUCCGCAGCCAGUCCUCACUCCGGGAGACUGCUGCCCUCAGUGCCCCGAUGCCCCUGCUGGCUGCCCACAGUCAGGGAAUACGGUCCUUGUCCGCCACCAGGAGCACUUUUUCCAACCGGGAGACCCCUGCAGCCGCUGCCUCUGCCUGGACGGCUCCGUGUCCUGCCAGCGACUGCCCUGUCCUCCUGCUCCCUGUGCCCACCCGCGCCAGGGCGCCUGUUGCCCCUCUUGCGACGGCUGCCUGUAUCAUGGGAAGGAGUUUGCCAAUGGAGAACGAUUUCCAUCACCUA